rnacentral:rRNA from 1 species
AUUCCAGCUCCAUUAGCGUAUAUUAAAGUUGUUGCAGUUAAAAAGCUCGUAGUUGGAUUUCUGGGUCCGGCAGCGGGUCCGCCUGGGUUCUCCCGGGUGCGCACUUCGCCAUCGGUGCCCAUUUUGUCGGAGAACGUGCAUGGCAUUAAGUUGUCGUGUGCGAGACCCGAUUCGUUUACUGAAAACAAAUCAGAGCGUUCAAAGCAGGCUUUUGCUUGAAUGUUCGAGUUCGGAAUAAUUCUAUAGGGACUUUGGUGCUAUUUUGUUGGUUUGCACACCCGAGUAAUGAUCAAAAGAAACAGUUGGGGUUCUCCGUAUUUACUUGUCAGAGGUGAAAUUCUUGGAUUUUAGAAAAGACGAACUUUGUGCGAAAGCAUUGAACACGGAUGUUUUCAUUUAAUCAUGAGCGAAGUCUAGGGGAGCGAAGAGGAUCAGAUACCCUCGUAGUCCUAGAAGUAAACUAUACCGACUAGGGAUUGGAAAGGUUCUCUAAAGCGGCC